rnacentral:rRNA from 1 species
GUGGGGAAUAUUGGACAAUGGGCGCAAGCCUGAUCCAGCCAUACCGCGUGGGUGAAGAAGGCCUUCGGGUUGUAAAGCCCUUUUGUUGGGAAAGAAAUCCUGUCGGUUAAUACCUGGCGGGGAUGACGGUACCCAAAGAAUAAGCACCGGCUAACUUCGUGCCAGCAGCCGCGGUAAUACGAAGGGUGCAAGCGUUACUCGGAAUUACUGGGCGUAAAGCGUGCGUAGGUGGUGGUUUAAGUCCGUUGUGAAAGCCCUGGGCUCAACCUGGGAAUGGCAGUGGAUACUGGAUAACUAGAGUGUGGUAGAGGGAUGCGGAAUGUCUGUUGUAGCAGUGAAAUGCGUAGAGAUCAGAAGGAACAUCCGUGGCGAAGGCGGCAUCCUGGGCCAACACUGACACUGAGGCACGAAAGCGUGGGGAGCAAACAGGAUUAGAAACCCUGGUAGUCC